AGCGAACGCUGGCGGCAGGCUUAACACAUGCAAGUCGAGCGGAUGUAGCAAUACAUCAGCGGCAGACGGGAGAGUAACACGUGGGAACGCGCCCUUCGGUUCGGAAUAACUCAGGGAAACUUGAGCUAAUACCGGAUACGCCCUAACGGGGAAAGAUUUAUCGCCGAAGGGACGGCCCGCGUCCGAUUAGCUAGUUGGUGAGGUAAUGGCUUACCAAGGCGACGAUCGGUAGCUGGUCUGAGAGGAUGGCCAGCCUCACUGGGACUGAGACACGGCCCAGGCUCCUACGGGAGGCAGCAGUGGGGAAUAUUGGACAAUGGGCGCAAGCCUGAUCCAGCCAUGCCGCGUGGAUGAUGAAGGCCUUAGGGUUGUAAAGUCCUUUUAACGGGGAAGAUAAUGACGGUACCCGUAGAAUAAGCCCCGGCUAACUUCGUGCCAGCCGCCGCCGUAA
rnacentral:rRNA from 1 species